CGGAGUCAAUAGUCUUACCCUGGAGCUUGUUCCCUUCAUCUAGAUGAAUGAUCUCACCAAACAGUGCCCUGCUAAGCUGAAUAGAAAGGAACGCAGGCGACGAUGGAAGUUCAGUGGUGUUUGGGAGUUUCUGAAUCCGAUUUUAGUUCCAUGACAUUCAUCCCCAAACACUGCUGCCUGUGUUCAUAUGAAAAAGAUGGCCGCCACCUUGUGGUUGUU